rnacentral:lncRNA from 1 species
AUCGGACUGCAGCUACUGUGCAGCCGCCAUCUUUGUUCUGUUUGAGGAAAUGGAUUCACUGCUCGACAGUUGAUUAAAAUCGCUGCAGGUAAAGUUUGGACUCCAGAGGCAGCAGAAGGGACAGGUUCUUAGAAUCUGCACAAAGUGGCAGGAACCAGAGACCUGAUGUCUUGAUGUGGACGAUGCAGGAUCUGAUCUGGCUCUGCUCCUGCCCCCCCUCCCUCAGGCUCAUGGAAUGAGAUGACCCAAACUGUGAUGUCAUCGUGAAGUCAGAACUACAAAGGUGUGUGAACCUGAAUCUGCCACAGGUGGAGAAGCUCAGAACUGGAUUCAAAGGGACAAUGGCAGGACUCGACACUGAACAGUUUUUCUACUGCGUUCGACUUUACUACGGUGCAGGAAGCUCUGCUGUUCAGCUGUCAGCUCUAUAAACCUGACAUUUGAUAUUCAAUAAAGAAAUGGACUCUGGGCAGUGUGGUUCUGUGGUGACGUUUUCACUGUACAAAACUGAGUUGGGUUUGGGUUCAGUGUUUGACUGAACCCUCAGCAGCAACCCUCCCCCAUGUGGCUCGUCAGCUCCAACUGAUGGAAGCUGAAACAUCUUCAGGAAAUUAAGUUUGGAUGGUG